ensembl:lncRNA
GGAGAUAACUGUCAUUAGCAACGCGCUCGCCACAGCAGUGUGAGCUGUCUGGGCACCUGGCCAAAUCUAAGAUGAAUUUGACUGGGGCAUCACGUCAUCAUUGUCUGUCGUUACUACUUUGUAUACGGGGGGAAAAGUAAAUGUCAACCUGGAAAGCAUUCCUGUGGUUUAUUAUCUUACAAACGUUGAGAUAGUAUUUGAAAACACUGCAUUGGACGACCUGGGAUCAUGUACAAGACCCCUGAUGGACCUCAUCGCUCGAGCCCAGGCCCGUCCCAGAUGGUUGGACAAGAUACUGUAAGUAGGCAAAAAGCGAGAGCAGGCGGUCCGGGAAGCCAACAUCAUAGACUGAAGGGUACAGAAGUUCAGCAUGUGUCGGGGAUGCUUCAACAGUGGAAACAGCCUGCCAUCUGCUGCUGGAUACAAGUAUAAAGACAAGCUGCCAGAUUCUCCUCAGACCCUAUGGUCUAACAACACUUUAUAUUUGUGUAGAGACUAAAUUAAUGUCAUUAAUAUUGUAAUGCAUUGUUGUUUUUUGUUUUUGCCCAUGGACCUUGUUCAACAGGACAGUGUGAAAGAGGUGAAGAGUGGGGAGAGACUUUCAGCAAAUUGACAGGGUCUUGUCUCUCAAACGCAAAAAGCUGAGGACAGAACGGUGCUCCGCUAUGUGCAGCAAGCUUUAUCAUCCGACUAUUGGUCACAGAGUAUUAACUACUUUUAGCUUUAUUUUUCCACAUUGCAUCCACACUCAAUCAUUCCCAUUGACUUCCUGUCAUGUUCAUUUCACUUGUAAACACACUGGAUGUGUAUGUCCUCAGUGUUGUUAUAGAGCACUUAUAAAGUAGCUUAAUUGAGCCACUCAAUUUAUGACCUCUUCAACUUACCUCGCAUUUUUCCAGAUUUUUAUUAAUAAAUAAAUGAAUAAUGCAGUAACCACAGGUUUAGCCAACAAAGCUUUGGCUGCCUAAUGUGUUUGCCUAAACAGCAUGUGGAGAAGACCUACCUUUAAGUGGAUAAGGUACCUCUGCUGGGCUUGCAGUAAGUGUCUAAUUUAAUUCAAUAAUCCCCAUAAAUGAAAUAAAUCCCUUUUGGGACAUCCACUCCUUAAGUAGUGAGAUAAUAUAAAAUGAGGUUUCGGGGAGAAAAAUUAGGACAUUAUGGUUGAUUGAGCUUUAACAAAAAGCAGAAAUAUUAUUACAGAGAUAUUCUUUAUGUUUAUAAUUUUGCAAUAAUGAAUGAAGGCACCCAAGUGGAAAACAAUCAGAGCUCAGAAUGGAUGACAGUGAUUGCGAGGCUUAGUGAAAGAAUGCAUUAGCAUUUCCACACUCCCCCAAUGCAAAUUGUUUCACUUCAACUUUUUAAAUAGCAUUUGUGUUCUGACUCCAUUUUAAUAAGUCUGCCGAUAACGAGGCCUCUGUGCGCAGUUGAACGACUGUCCCUGCAACACAUUCAUUUUUUUGCCUUAUUCAUGAGAGGAAAGAAAGAAAAUUGAAAAGAAUAAAGCAACAUAAUCUUGUCUGAGAAAUAAUGCAUUUUUGCUGAAUGAACAUUAUUUACAUAUAAU